UACGUAGGGUCCGAGCGUUGUCCGGAUUUAUUGGGCGUAAAGAGCUCGUAGGCGGCUUGUCGCGUCGUCUGUGAAAUCCCGCGGCUCAACCGCGGGUCUGCAGUCGAUACGGGCAGGCUAGAGUUCGGUAGGGGAGACUGGAAUUCCUGGUGUAGCGGUGAAAUGCGCAGAUAUCAGGAGGAACACCGGUGGCGAAGGCGGCGAUCUGGGAAGAUACUGACGCUGAGGUGCGAAAGCGUGGGGAGCAAACAGG
rnacentral:rRNA from 1 species